UUUUCAUCAACCAGGAAAGGUCCCUGAUGAAGAUCAGGGAUAAUAGGGAAUCGUGUUCAAAUCACGAGCUGUCGCGCAACUGUAAGCAGCCAGCAAGGCUUUACCCAAUGUAUGUCCACUGUUUCGCCCCGGGCGGAGCGGGAAGGGCGGUAAAGCUGCUGUAAGCCAGGAGACCUGCCUUUUCUGUAUGAGCAAU
rnacentral:ncRNA from 2 species